CUACUUGUCAGCUUCUAGAAGAUGAAUCAAUUUUGUGAGGACUUGGCCAAUAUCAAGGUCUUCAGCAUGACUCAUCAGCUCGUUGCUAAUCCGAGGACAACAAAUGCCUACAAAUGCUGGUGUUGGCCGUGAUCCUUGUGAUGGAGGGGAAAGGAAUCACCAAUUUUCUACUCCAUCCCACGGAACAACUUAGAGAUGACCUAAGGCCUCAUUACCUGUGUGGAGUAACUGGGAAUUGGAAGAGAUAAAGAAACGGACAUCCCUAGGGAAUGAAGCCUAGGUCCUCGUGUCCCCCCGAAUCUGGUGCUUUUUCCUCAGUGGCACUGUGGAGGGGUUGUUGAGUAUGUGUUCCCUCUGAGGCUGAUUGGAACCUUCCUCUUCCCCAACUGAGUG